GCUUCCUCCAAAACUUAAUAUAGAACUCUCCAAAUUCUAAACCAAGUUUAUAAACCUCUGCUGUUUUUGAAAAGACAUGACCAGAAUCUUGAUCUUGCACACAUUAUAUUAGCAUGGAGAGAAAUAGAAAUAUGACCUACUUACUUCCUUUUCCCCUCCUCAUUAUACACCUAAUCACUUUCUUCAACUAAUCACAGCAGAGAAUUUAUAAUUUUAGAGUAAAGAGCAGAGAGAAUGUAUAACUUUAAAUUUUUCAGUCAUCAAAUGCCUUUAGCUGAGACAUCUCGGUUGCAAUU
rnacentral:lncRNA from 1 species